AUUUAAUAAAAAACAAAAAAAGCUUGUACUUUGCUGACAUUUCCUGGGUCUCAGCAGGUUAACCAAGAUUUAUUUUCCUGAGUGUUUUUAUUCCUCUUAAAGCAUGAAACAACAACAACUUUAAAAUAGAUUUAUUUAGUCAGUUGUAGCUCAUACGUAUGUGUUUGGAAGUCUUAAAACUAACUUUACUGUUUCUAAAUGAUGUCUGCAAAAAAAAAAAGAGAGCCAAUUCAUUUUCAUUGUUUUUAACCCUUUCAUGCAUGAAUUAUGAGAACCUUAAUCAAAAUUUAUUUUCGUCUGUGUUCCUAUUCCUCUUAAAGCAGGAAAAAACAACAACUUUAAAAUAGAUUUAUUUAGUCAGUUGUAGCUCAUACAUAUGUUUGAAAUCUUAAAAUUAACUUUACUGUUUCUAAAUGAUGUC